rnacentral:rRNA from 1 species
AUUGAACGCUGGCGGCAGGCCUAACACAUGCAAGUCGAACGAGUGGCGGACGGGUGAGUAAUGUCUGGGAAACUGCCCGAUGGAGGGGGAUAACUACUGGAAACGGUAGCUAAUACCGCAUACCAUCGGAUGUGCCCAGAUGGGAUUAGCUUGUAGGUGAGGUAACGGCUCACCUAGGCGACGAUCCCUAGCUGGUCUGAGAGGAUGACCAGCCAAACUGGAACUGUGCCACGGUCCAGACUCCUACGGUAGGCAUCAGUGGGGAAGAUUGCACAAUGGGCGCAAGCCGGAUGCAGCCAUGCCGGGUGGAUGAAGAAGGCCUUCGGGUUUGAAAGUACUUGCAGCGGGGAGGCGUUACCCUCAGAAGAAGCACCGGCUAACUCCGUGCCAGCAGCCGCGGUAAUUC